UGCUCAGCUAUUGGAUGUUCAGCUCUUUGUCUAACCAAUCAGAAGACGAUGGAGAACAGUGUUUUACAAAAUGCUGAGUCAGGAGAUGAUUCAUAAUAAUGGCGAUACCAAAGUCUGGACUGCAACCAGAUCCCUGGGGAUAAUCUCCUGUGCACUGUGUGGAAAAAUUGCCCAUCAAUAAAAAGUUGAUGACCAGUAAGCUGACACAGGAUUAGAAGGUGGGACAUCCGGCAGAGAGAGAGGAACUCUGGGAGAUACUCAAGAGGAGGGAGAUUUGCCAUCAGGACUGUGAGGAGGUCGGACAUAUAAAACUGAGAAGAAACCAUCCACGUGCCUGAACUCAGAUAUGUGCGGAUGCAUGUGGCCACCUGAAGAAGCCACAGAGGGCAAAGGAUCCCCUGAAGCUGCAGUUCCAGGUGGUUGAGAACUGCCUGGUGUGGACGCUGGGAACUGAAUCCAGGUUCUUGGGAAGAGCAAUAUGUCUCUUAAACACUAGCCAUCUCUCCAGCCCCACAGCAUGAGUUGUUAAUGUUUCAAUUUCUUCGGCAAUAAACUCAAAUCCCAGGAAACCUGAUAGUCAAAGACCACACAAUACCAAAUGUCUAGUCUCUAAAACAAGAAGCCAUCCACAAAGCAUGACAUCUAACGGAUGCCACAGCUCCAGAUGCUACCAAACAUUACAACCAUCUGCAAAAUCACAAGAAGGGCCAGAGUCAGCAGAGGUUAAACAGUAAAAGGAAACACUCUGGAGACACAGUAAGAAAAUGGCUAACUGAUGCUGUUGCAUUCUCAGACAAAUAUCCCCAGCCCAUCUUUUGAAAACAAUCUCACUGACCAACCACAAAGCACCACCAUUGUUUAGUAAGACGUCAUUAUUUGGCUCCACGGGGUAGUGGCAGGGAGGGAACUGGGUGCUAACCUUCAUAGCAAUAUAUGGGGGCAGAUGGUGCUUACUCAAAACCUGCAAACCAAUAUACCACACCGCUAUCAAAGCCAAAAAGAAAACACAUUGAAAAUUGAUUUGAGUAGAAAAUCUCGGGGCUGGGGAUUUAGCUCAGUGGUAGAGCGCUUACCUAGGAAGCACAAGGCCCUGGGUUCGGUCCCCAGCUCCGAAAAAAAGAACCAAAAAAAAAAAAAAAAAAGAAAAGAAAAUCCCUGGUAAGUUGUCUCAUCUUUUUCAUAUUCAGUUCUGAAGAAGAGGGGGUAAUUGCUAUAUUGCCAAUAAAAUAUCUGAAUUUCUACCGUCUCAGACUUCUUUGCAUGAGUGUCAUCCGUUUAUAGCCAGGAAUCUUGAAUUUAUUUUCUACUAAGGGUUGCCAUUCUAAAUAGCAAUGUUGCUUUUUAAAAUUAUUAGUAAAAAAUAUAAAUCAAUUAAAAAUGGAAGCUACAGUCAAUAUGAUUGUAUGUGUGCACAUAUGUAUUCAUGUAAAUAUGUAUAUAUAUGUGCAUGUGUGCAUAUAUAUAUACAUGUAUAUGAAUGACGACACUCUUGAGAGAUAUUACCUUAUAAGAUGUCGAACAGUGUGAUUGUCUGACUCUAUGGUCUAGCUGAAGAGUCAACCUACUUCACACUGACUCUAUUUCUUGGCUAUUUGUAUCCAUUUUAGUCAUUCUUUUAUUGUUGUGAAGAGACACCAUGACCACAUAACUCUU